ACAUGCUGAGAACACCGGCGUCUAGUUGCUCUGAGGUUUGUUCAAGAUCGACAAACAAUCACAUGUUUUUGAGCUAACUUUAAAUUAAUGCUUGUUCGUGAGGGAGUCAUUAGCUAGUCAUAACCCGCAGUCUCCGCUGUUAUAACUGACCGGGCAGAAAUAGUCAACGUCAAUCCAAGGAGGCAAAAAGGACAGUUUCUGAGUUUAAUUCAAUAAAAGAAAAUCAGCGAAAGGAGAUUUGAAAAUAAAGAGAAGAACUGUGCUGGUAUGUCAUAUGAAGAGCUGAAUGAUGACCUUUAGCACAAUGGGCAGGAGGCCCAAACUAAGAGGUUGGAUGAACUUUUCCCCCAUCUGCAGCCGUCAGUGGUAAAGGACCAUGCCUCAGGACUACCUGGUCUGAUGACUCCUUGUUUCCCCCAGUCCACCUGGCCAUGCUGCU